rnacentral:miRNA from 1 species
AAGAGUAACAUUGUAUAUUGUUGGUUCCAGGAGCAUGACAGGUCAUCUCAUUGCCGUUUAGACUCAGCACCUCACUGUAUUUCCAGUCUAUCCUUGAUGCAGUCUUCUUCUUGAAUAUCUGGAAUUGU